rnacentral:rRNA from 1 species
AGAGCGAACGCUGGCGGCAGGCCUAACACAUGCAAGUCGAGCGCCCGUAGCAAUACGGGAGCGGCAGACGGGAUAGUAACACGUGGGAACGCGCCCUUCGGUUCGGAAUAACUCAGGGAAACUUGAGCUAAUACCGGAUACGCCCUUACGGGGAAAGAUUUAUUGCCGAAGGAACGGCCCGCGUCCGAUUAGCUAGUUGGUGAGGUAAUGGCUCACCAAGGCGACGAUCGGUAGCUGGUCUGAGAGGAUGACCAGCAUCACUGGGACUGAGACACGGCCCAGACUCCUACGGGAGGCAGCAGUGGGGAAUAUUGGACAAUGGGCGCAAGCCUGAUCCAGCCAUGCCGCGUGGAUGAUGAAGGCCUUAGGGGUUGUAAAGUCCUUUUAACGGGGAAGAUAAUGACGGUACCCGUAGAAUAAGCCCCGGCUAACUUCGUGCCAGCAGCCGC